CAAGUCGAACGGUAACAUGAAUAGCAAUAUUUGAUGACGAGUGGCGCACGGGUGCGUAACGCGUAUGCAAUCUACCUUCAACUGGUGAAUAGCCCGAAGAAAUUCGGAUUAACACACCAUAGUAUUAUUGAGUGGCAUCACUUAAUAAUUAAAACUCCGGUGGUUGAAGAUGAGCAUGCGUGACAUUAGCUAGUUGGUGAGGUAAUGGCUCACCAAGGCUACGAUGUCUAGGGGAUCUGAGAGGAUUAACCCCCACACUGGUACUGAGACACGGACCAGACUCCUACGGGAGGCAGCAGUAAGGAAUAUUGGACAAUGGUCGCAAGACUGAUCCAGCCAUGCCGCGUGAAGGAUGACGGCCCUAUGGGUUGUAAACUUCUUUUAUACGGGAAAAAACCCCUCUACGUGUAGAGGGCUGAUUGUACUGUAAGAAUAAGGAUCGGCUAACUCCGUGCCAGCAGCCGCGGUAAUACGGAGGAUCCAAGCGUUAUCCGGAUUCAUUGGGUUUAAAGGGUGCGUAGGCGGAAUGAUAAGUCAGUGGUGAAAGCCUGCAGCUUAACUGCAGAACUGCCAUUGAUACUGUCAAUCUUGAGUAUAUUUGAUGUGGGCGGAAUGUGUCAUGUAGCGGUGAAAUGCUUAGAUAUGACACAGAACACCGAUUGCGAAGGCAGCUCACAAAACUAUAACUGACGCUGAGGCACGAAAGCGUGGGUAUCAAACAGGAUUAGAUACCCUGGUAGUCCACGCUGUAAACUAUGAUUACUCGAUGUUUGCGAUACACUGUAAGCGUCUAAGCGAAAGCGAUAAGUAAUCC
rnacentral:rRNA from 1 species